rnacentral:misc_RNA from 1 species
UCCUGGUUAACCCAGGCAGUCUCAUUAGAGUUCCCACCUUAAAUGUUGGCAACUAAUGAUAAGGGUUGCGCUCGUUGCUGGACUUAACCAAACACCUCACGGCACGAGCUGACGACAGCCAUGCAGCACCUGUGCACAGGCCCCGAAGGGAAAUACCAUUUCUGGUAUCGUCCUGUGCAUGUCAAGCCUGGGUAAGGUUCUUCGCGUUGCAUCGAAUUAAACCACAUGCUCCACUGCUUGUGCGGGUCCCCGUCAAUUCUUUUGAGUUUCAGCCUUGCGACUGUACUCCCCAGGCGGUAUACUUAACGCGUUCGCUUCGGCACAACUAGGGUUGAGUCCAGUUACACCAAGUAUACAUCGUUUACAGCAAGGACUAC